UACGUAGGGUGCAAGCGUUAAUCGGAAUUACUGGGCGUAAAGCGUGCGCAGGCGGUGAUGUAAGACAGGUGUGAAAUCCCCGGGCUUAACCUGGGAACUGCAUUUGUGACUGCAUCGCUGGAGUGCGGCAGAGGGGAAUGGAAUUCCGCGUGUAGCAGUGAAAUGCGUAGAUAUGCGGAGGAACACCGAUGGCGAAGGCAAUCCCCUGGGCCUGCACUGACGCUCAUGCACGAAAGCGUGGGG
rnacentral:rRNA from 1 species